rnacentral:lncRNA from 1 species
GGGGGGGGGGGGUUUAUUCCAGUUGCGAUACUUCCUGUCAUUUGCAUUCUGCAUGUCUGCUUUGGUGACAGAGCCUAUGGUGAGAUCACUUAGCCCUGUUGUAUUUUCUCUUCCGGCCCUUUCUGCAGAUUCAGAGCCUGUCCCAAGAGGCCUCCUCACUCUCACCCCGCGGCCGGGGUUCCACCAGGGCUUCCCCACACUUCGUGGCAAGGUGUUUAUAUCACAGGGCUUAAAACUGCCAGCUGAGAGCUCUCUGUCCGAAAGGCUUCUCUUCCCGAAUGUGGGGCAGCUUUUUAAGUUCAGAUCCCGCACUUUACAGGUGAGCAAAUCAGAGCUCAGAGAAGUGCCGUCUUGUGCAAGUCCACGCUGCUGUGUUUCUGACUCCCAGCCCUGUGCUUCCUCUGAUACUACAAAAGGUACACAGUGUGAGGUAGUUGAAAGAGCCCUGACUUUUGAGUCAGAUAGGCCUGUUGAAGUCUGACUUUGUCAGGUACCAGCUGUGUGACCUUGGGCAAGUUGUUUCACCUCUCUGAUCUGCAAAGGGAAACCAUAAUGCUUUCUUGCAGGGUUGUUGUGAAGACCGCUGUAUAGAAAGUGCUAGACACAGACCAGGCAUCAGUAAAAGGUAGCUGGCACUGUUACUCCUAUGGCCCCUGCCUCCCCACCUUUCUCAGGAACAACAAACCCAGCCACAAUAUUGCAAAACACUGGCUUAAGAUGGUACAACUUUCAAGGAUGUUUAUCUUUUGGUGGAGAUCCUUAAAAAUGAAAAGCCAUUGAGAUAUAAAGGGAUAAACUUUAGUGAUGGAGAGGACACAGGUGCACAAUCCAGCUAAACGCAGCAGGAUGGGUUAAGCAUUAGGAGAACACCUCCAUCUGAAGGUGCUGGGAGGCGAACACAGGAGGCAUGAAGACCCACAGGGCCGUGUUCCAGGCACACAGUCAGCCUUGGGGGCAGGAGCCGUGGUCAGGUAAUGCUGUCUAGUUAGACUGAGGGACAGAGGACAGCAACCAGAAACCCAGAGGAGCGGAGAUGCAUGCUUGCAGGGCUGAGUAGCUGACAUCAGGGUGAUCUGUUACGAAGUGCUGGGGCCUCAGAACCUGGUCUCCAGUUCAGGACCUGGAGAGGGGGGAGGUGGGGCCGCCUGACAAAUCCCAACAUGCCCACCACUGCCUCUGCGCCUCCCUUCUAAGCCAGGCUGGAAUAGGUAGUGCAUGUCCGUAUGUCAGUUGCCAUUUAUUAUUUGCAUAAAAGAGUGGUUUUUUCCUUAAAAAUAGAGAGUUCUAGGGAAAAAACUAAUUAAAUUCUGAACCAUUAGCAACAUUUUAAAUUCUCUUCUAAUAGU